AUGCUGUUUGAAAAUACAGAGGAAAAUUGGAAUGUUAUAGAGAAGAUUAGCAUGGUCCCUGCACAAGGAAGACACACGAGUAAUUUGAGGGAAAGGAUGAAAUA